GGGCCCGCACAAGCAGCGAGCGUGUGGUUUAAUUCGUUGCUACACGAAGAACCUUACCUGGGUUUGACAUAAUGGCGGUAGGGAUCCGAAAGGUGACCGACCUUCGGGGAGCCAUUACAGGUGUUGCAUGGCUGUCGUCAGCUCGUGUCGUGAGAUGUUCGGUUAAGUCCGCUAACGAGCGCAACCCUCGCCGUAUGUUACAAGUGUCAUACGGGACUGCCGGUAAAAGCCGGAGGAAGGUGAGGAUGAUGUCAAGUCAGCAUGACCUUUAUAUCCAGGGCUACACACACGCUACAAUGGUCUGUACAAUUGGUUGCCAAGCCGCGAGGCGGAGCCAAUCCGUAAAGCAGGCCUCAGUUCAGAUUGCAGUCUGCAACUCGACUGCAUGAAGCCGGAGUUGCUAGUAACCGCAGGUCAGCAAUACUGCGGUGAAUACGUUCCCGGGUCUU
rnacentral:rRNA from 1 species